rnacentral:rRNA from 1 species
GACGAACGCUGGCGGCGUGCUUAACACAUGCAAGUCGAACGGAGUUACGUAUGAAGUAUUUCGGUACGGACUACAUAACUUAGUGGCGAACGGGUGAGUAACACGUGGGCAACCUGCCCUUAACCGGGGGAUAACAUUGUGAAAACAGUGCUAAUACCGCAUAACAGAGUAUCGGGCAUCCGAUAUUUUUAAAAGGAGCAAUCCGGUUUAGGAUGGGCCCGCGUCCAAUUAGCUAGUUGGUGAGGUAACGGCUCACCAAGGCUACGAUUGGUAGCCGAACUGAGAGGUUGAUCGGCCACAUUGGGACUGAGACACGGCCCAGACUCCUACGGGAGGCAGCAGUGGGGAAUAUUGGGCAAUGGGCGAAAGCCUGACCCAGCGACGCCGCGUGAACGAUGAAGGCCGUGAGGUUGUAAAGUUCGUUUUCCGGGGGGGAAUAAGCGUGGCAGGGAAUGGCCGCGCGAUGACGUGAACCCGGGAUAACGCCCCGGCUAACUACGUGCCAGCAGCCGCGGUAAGACGUAGCGU